rnacentral:rRNA from 1 species
CGUGUAGGCGGUCCGGUAAGUGAGAUGUGAAAUCCCUCGGCUCACCCGAGGACCUGCAUCUCAAACUGCCUGACUCGAGUACGGGAGAGGAUGUGGGAAUUCCUGGUGUAGCGGUGAAAUGCGUAGAUAUCAGGAGGAACACCGGUGGCGAAAGCGCACAUCUGGCCCGAUACUGACGCUGAGGCGCGAAAGGCUAAGGGGAGCAAACG